UACGUAGGGGGCAAGCGUUGUCCGGAAUCAUUGGGCGUAAAGAGCGUGUAGGCGGCUCGGUAAGUCCGCUGUGAAAGUCCAGGGCUCAACCCUGGAAUGCCGGUGGAAACUGUCGAGCUGGAGUCCGGAAGAGGCGAGUGGAAUUCCUGGUGUAGCGGUGAAAUGCGCAGAUAUCAGGAGGAACACCAAUGGCGAAGGCAGCUCGCUGGGACGGUACUGACGCUGAGACGCGAAAGCGUGGGGAGCAAACAGG
rnacentral:rRNA from 1 species